UGGGGAAUAUUGCACAAUGGGGGAAACCCUGAUGCAGCGACGCCGCGUGAAGGAAGAAGUAUCUCGGUAUGUAAACUUCUAUCAGCAGGGAAGAUAGUGACGGUACCUGACUAAGAAGCCCCGGCUAACUACGUGCCAGCAGCCGCAGUAAUACUAGACU
rnacentral:rRNA from 1 species